rnacentral:lncRNA from 1 species
UGUAAUAUUCGCGCAUGCGCAGACUAGUUGGGAGCCAUCGCAGACCGGGAAGCGUCAGGACCAAACAAAUGCGAACUUUAGGGAUUUUGAAGCGUUUCCCGGCCUGGGCCGGACCAAACAGUCCUUGAACCCCUUCCGGAACACCGGCCCGAACCUCGAGCAGAGCUUUCCGGUGAACUGGAGUUCUGCGCGCGGCUGCUGCACUCCUCUGAGGAUGUCGUCCUCCUUUAAAAUACCAAAGAAGAAACAACCUGGAGACUCAGACUCCUCCCACUUUCAUGUACAGUCUCCACUGUCCCGCCUUCAGAGCUCCGCCCCAUUGGUUAAGGGUUACGGGGAGUCCUCCAGCAGAGGCAGGGUAGACGGUCACCACAGGGGGGCUCUCAGCCCUGCAGCCGGGACAGACAGGUUGGUACGGGACCCCCCGGUUUCCUUUACCAGCUGAAGUUCUGCAGACUGAAGUUGUGCUUCAUGGUGUCUGUAGGCCUUUGUUCAGAGACGUGGUCAAAACGCUGCUGGGACUCAACAGCCCCAAUGAAGGCAGAGUGUCAGCGGCCAAUCACAGGCCGGCGGCGAGCUGGAGCUGCCAAUCACAGACUGGAGGAUGGCGUCCUAAGAGAGCGUCAGACCGCCUGCUGGACCAAUCCCAGCCCCUCCACCAACCCCUGAGGACAGGUGGGGGGGGUGUGUCUCUUCCACUCAAAAACUCCUCAGUGGAUUCUCUGGCUGAGCUGCGAGCCCAGGGGCAUGCUGGGAGUUCAGAUUCACUGCAAACCAGAGGCGAAUCCACGAAAGACGCAGAAGAGAGCAAGAUUGACUCAGGAAAAUCCCAGAACCAGAGUUCUGGACCCAAAACCAUCUCAGAGGACGGGGUAACUUCACUAACCAGAACCAGAAUCAAGAUCCGGCUGUCAGCAGCCUCUCCUCUCUCAGAUGUCCGUCAAACCCCCCCCAGCGUGGAGAGGAAUGGGAGGCGGAGCCUGGAUGUGAUGGAGGCCCAGAGAGACAGAUGGAAGCGGUUCAGAGAGGGGCGGAGCUCCGCUUCCCGUCCAAAGAAACCCAGAGUCACUCCAGCAGAACCCAUUGUUCUGUCCAGUGAGGAAGAGGAGGAGUCAGGGAGGCGUGGCCUAACGGACAGCGGAGGAGGAUCUGAGGUGCAGAGGCCCCCCCCACCUGUGUCUCCGCCCUCCUUCCUGCAGCUGCAGUUCACCUCGCUGCAUGCAGGACUCAUGCACGCGCACGCCAACGGAGCCGCAACGGUGAGUUGAGGCCAGGGUUUAUCCCCGAGGUUCUCCUGUCAGAGUCUACAAGGAUAAAACUUUAUUUAAAACGUCACAGUGAACACACAGUUUAGACCUGGACCAGAACCAGAACUCAGAGGAAGAUCCUCAACAUCUACAGUAAAGCUUGAUCUCCUGCUGCGGCCGUAAACCUUAACGAGCAAUUACACACAGCAGAACACUCGUUAAGGCGAGAAUGACCGACCAGAACCAGAACCAGAACCCGCUGAGAGCGCUGCAACUUCAGAGGACAGCUGUGAACGUUCUGCAUGUUCUGUCCUCUCUGCAGAUCACGCAGGACUCCAUCACGCUUCCUGUCAAAGGUAACGCAACACUGACACAAGGCCGGAACACAACAGGAACAUGACAAAAACACAACAACAACACAACACUGAGACAAGGCCCGAACACAACAGGAACAUGACAAAAACACAACAACAACACAACACUGAGACA